GGGAGGAUUGGGGGAGGGGAAGAGGGAACGGAAGAAAAACUUCUUGUCUACCACAUUAAGACGUCAAUGGAUGUUUAAGAUGAUGACUCAAGCUAUCUAAGAAUAGUGUUAUUUACAAAUGGAGUGGUAAAGAAGAAACAGCUUUCAAGAGAAGAAGGGCCACCAGGAAACACACCUUCAGGAAACACCAUUUCUGUUCUAGUCCAAAGGGCACCAUCCACCUGGACCAGAAUAUGAGAUGCCCUUUGGAGUUGCACAGAGGUCCUGCCUCUUUCCACCUGCACUGCUGUCACCCUGGCCCGGCCGCCACCCUCUCACUGUAUUUCUGCAGCUGAGACCUAGGCCUUAUGCAAGGGAAGGCCCAGGCCAGGAGGGGCCUCACAGCAAGAGUGAAGGAUGCCGCUUGGACAAAAGAGGAGGGUGGAAGACUGGAUGCCACGGAGAAGCCCUUCCAUGCCCAGGAGCUGGCGUGGCAUGAACUUUGGGAGGCCCCAGAGCCUCUGACCCCCCCUUCUAAACCAGCACCGUAUUCUGAUUGGCUGUCUCUGCCUGCCUCGGUUUAUUCUUCUUACUGAUCGACCACCUCUUUCCACCGUGUCAGAUCUCUGUUCCUACUGGUCCAGUCCCCCCACCUGCCACAGGGUCACCCGGGAUGGCCUGGGUUCUGCAAGGCCUCGACGGCUUGCCUCUUGCCACCAUCAGAUUCUUCCUCAUUAAACAAAUGAAUCACAAUCCUAAUUAAUUUGAGCAACAGAAUU